rnacentral:rRNA from 1 species
CCUACGGGUGGCAGCAGUGAGGAAUAUUGGUCAAUGGGCUUACGCCUGAACCAGCCAAGUCGCGUGAGGGAAGACUGCCCUAUGGGUUGUAAACCUCUUUUGUCAGGGAGCAACGCCGGCUACGUGUAGCCGGACUGAGAGUACCUGAAGAAUAAGCUCCGGCUAACUACGUGCCAGCAGCCGCGGUAAUACGUAGGGAGCAAGCGUUAUCCGGAUUUACUGGGUGUAAAGGGCGUGUAGGCGGGCAUGCAAGCCAGAAGUGAAAUCUGGGGGCUUAACCCCCAAACUGCUUUUGGAACUGCGUGUCUUGAGUGAUGGAGAGGCAGGCGGAAUUCCCAGUGUAGCGGUGAAAUGCGUAGAUAUUGGGAGGAACACCAGUGGCGAAGGCGGCCUGCUGGACAUUAACUGACGCUGAGGCGCGAAAGCGUGGGGAGCAAACAGGAUUAGAUACCCUUGUAGUC